rnacentral:sRNA from 1 species
GUCUUUACUAUGUAUGUGCAUGUGGGGGUCACUGCAUGUGGGUGGAACCCAGAGGUCAACAUCAGCUGUCCCGUUCUACCUUAUUUUUGAGGCAUGGUCUCUCAUUGGGACUGAAGCUUAUCAAAUAGCAAAGUGGGUGAGGCAGCAAGUUCAGGAGCUCUUCCUAUCUCAGCCUCACCCCACAGGGUUGACAUUACAGAUCAGCACCCACCCACUCAAGUAAUGGAGGCUAAGGAUGUGAACCAGGUCCCCAUGCUCGUGUGGAAGGCACUUUCCUAACUGCACAGCCGCCCCAGCCCCUCUGAUGUCCUCUCUAUAGAGCAGACUCCUCAUUCUUCCAGGCCCACUAGAGUUCUGGUGAUCUUCAUUUCUCCCUUGCCACCAAGCAGGCCCUGAAUUAUGCAGGGACUCUCUUGAGCAGCACCCUCACGGGGCAACCUUUCAUGGCCCUUUGAGGGAACUUAAAGGAAAUUGUGGUCCUCGGCUCUGCCCUUGAGGAAUGGGGUGGCAACUGCACAGUAUGAGGCAGACACAGAACUAUGAAGAGCAGAGAGCCGUCUCCCAGGGAAAUGGCAUUCAUUCGGUAUAGUUUGUCUUGCUCUCCAUCAAAUCCUGUUUCCAAUCAGUGAAGUGGCCGAGUGGAAAUGUCCUCUAGUUGCUGGGUAUGGUGGCUCACUCCUCCAAUCCUAGGACUCCGGUGGAAGAGGCAGGUGGCUCUCUGAGAGCUCAAGGCAACCAGGUCGAUAGUGAGACCUUACCUAAAAUCAGUCACCAAUCCCAACCCUGAAACUUAGUCACUGUCAAUCUUCAGCAUGCUGUGUCAUCUCUCCAAGCCUUGGCCUCUUUUUCUGGAGCCAGGAUCAACUCCAUAACCUUAUGAGAUCCAAUGAGAACUGAAUGUGGUCAAAUGCUCUAAAAUUAUUAAAAGCGCACACAAGGACAAACGCAGACCAUAAAACCAGGUGUGGUGUGCUUCUAGGAUAAGCACCAGUGCUGUGCGAUAGCAGCAGGCACAUCACACCAUGUCAAUCCUCCUGGUUACAGCAUUAACUUCCGUAUCAGGUGAGGAGAAAAGGGAAACGUCCAUGCUGCGUCUGACAUGCUGCGGAGACUGCCUGGAUUAAAGGUGUGAGCCACCACACACAGCAGCUCCAGGGGUUUGCAUGUAGCCACUUCACUGAUUGAAACGGCCCUGUCUUAUCCUCACUUCCCUGCAAGGGACGGGGAAAUAAGGCAGACUUCCACACAAGUACCGAUCUUCUGUGAGGCUGCUCAUGUCUGAUUCACUAGCUGUGUCAUCUCCUAGCUAUGCCUGUCCUGGUCCCCCAGAAUGUGUGCCCAAGAGACGGAAGGACAGUAGUGAUGAAGAAAGGGUCUGUCAUGGACCUCCAGUAAGGAACUGUGCCUGCACCUGCAUUGCUUAUGGCAAGAAGGUACCCAAGUGGACCUCAGGCCUAGUCUAGAGGCUCUGCUCGGUCAAAGCCAAGUCAGACCCAGGUCUCUCCAUGGUCCCAGCUCUCAGUAUGAGCUGGGAACUGUCUACCCUACUCCUCCCUGAGCUCUAUUGGCAUACUUGGACAUUAUAGUUCUGAGGACGUGGUCAGUUUCCAGUUAUACAAACCUGAAGAUGGUAGAUUGUUUUUGUUUUUGUUUUCCCUUUUCAUUCAAGGGGGAAAGUUUAAUUCAAAAGGUAGAGGAACUAGCAAGAUUGGACAAGCUAGAGCUGAGUUUUAAUGAUAAAGGAUCAACAGUCUUCUGGCCUGAUAGAGGAAGGGCUCAUUUAAAUCACCGUGGGCCAGAGAAUGGAUCAGCUUAAUCAAACUGGAACCAAGGACGGGCCGCAGUCAAAACCCAAGUGGGAAAUCCAAAACCACAAAUCACAUUUGAUUCUCGUCCAGGGCUACACUUCAAACCCAGCUUCUGCGCAGCAGCAUCCAGCACAGGGCCUCUGGCAUCCCCGCCCCCUGGUGGGUCUGCGCAUCCGGAGCGGCAAGACCAAUCAACUCACUGAAGGAGCCUGGAAGGGCAGGAUGAAGGGGCCAAGAGGAGGCGGGGCAAGCUCACGUCAGCCUCUGAGUGACACAUCAGGCUGUCAUCACUUUACCUUUAGACUUCAGACUUUCAAAACUGUCCCAAGGGAAAGUGGUCUGGGUCUUGUGUGUGGCUGUUUACCUGUGUGUGCAUGGGCACAGCACAGAUUUGUAUGUGUCUCUAUGUGUGUGCCUGAAAAUUAGACACAAGUUGAUUUUAAUGAAGAUAGAUAAUCAACAGGGCCAGCAGCCAGAAUAUAUAAAGAACUAACUCUGAAACCAAAAAGCAAAAGUCAGUAGAAAAACAAGCAAAGGACACAGAAGUGUUUCCCAUUAAGGAGGCCGCUAAAUAGUCAGUAAACCUCACCAGCGAUGCACGGCGAGGCAGCGGGCUCAAGGUCCUAAAGAACAGGAUGGUGAUGAAGAUGUGGAGGGAGAGGCUUUCUCCUGGAUUCUAAAGGGGAAGCAAUCAGUAGGCCCAUCUUGGAAAUUGGUUUAUUAAUAAGUAAUUCCACCUCCUGCUCAAAAGACAUAUAAUCAAACAAAAAAAUGUAGGCUGAAGCCACUAUGGGGGAAAAGAUUUAGAACUAACCCAAUGGUCAAAUCAGAGAGAGUUAUAACAAUGUAAUACCACACAGCCUGGGUGGAUUUUCUUGUAAAGAGCCACUUAGAUACAAAAGAGAGGUUUUGCUACCCAUUUUGAUUUUUAACUGUGUCAUAAUGACUUGACUUGGCUAUUGUACUGAUACUUCAUAAGCAAAGGGCACAGCUAUCUUCUAAUAAAACUUUAUUUACAAACACAAAUAGUGAGCUAUAAAAUGCCAACAGCUGUUGUAUAGCACGGAAAAUAAAUAAACUGUCCACUGGGGUUCUAGGAGCCACAGAAACUCCUAACACUUGAGCCCACCCCAUGGAGGACAGAGACACAGAGGAAUAGUGAAAAGACCCCAAAGCCAGCAGCAAGCCAGCUACAGCACGUGUGGAUUCUGCCUUUGUGCCUAGAAAAUGCCUGGAACCUGAGAAGUGCUCUGAGCUCUGAAGCUUCGUCACAGUGUCUUCUGUAUCUCCACUAAUACAGGCCCCAGCAAGCCCUGCCUUCCAGCUCUUCCCAAGGACAGAGAGCAAAGUGAGCGGGAGGUUGCUUGCCGCCCGGCAGACUAACUAACUGACAGCAAGAAAACCAACAAAUACAAGGGGAGACAGAAAACAUAAAAUAAAAUAAAAUUGAAAAGCUACCCCAAGGAUUCCAGAUGAAGAAAAACAGUUUUAAAGGAGACCAGAAAAUUACAGAAGCCCAAGGCAAAGGCCAUCCCACUGCACAGCUCAGCCUAAUUCUUUAGAAUGACCCUGGGCUUCUACCAAAAAGGAUAAAUGGCGAUAGAGCUGAGAUGCAGCACAGUCUCAGAGAAUGCUGGCCAGCGAUGGUACCCAAGCCAUCAAUGUGCAGUCUCUAGGCAGACUGGCUCGCUUGCUCACCAGAGGAGCCGAUCUCCCGCAAAGCUCCGGGAAACUCACGUUUUCUUACUGUCUUUGAGAUCCCUGCAGCUAUUACUGUGCUUGGCACAAAUUCUGAGCUGCUAGUUCGCAGAUGGAGCAGGAGACAGUGUGUCCUGCAGGAUGUUAUGUUGUGGUUUCUUGGAGCAAUACUUAAUGUACCCCAAAUGUUUAUGCCGUCUUUAUCCUCGAUACGGCUUACCAGCCAUUGACUAGUGUGGGAUUUUAUUCAGUUAACUACAAAGAGGAAUAGCGUGUCCUAUAGUAUCUAUUUCAUUGGAGAUGGAAAAAAAAAUUGUUCGUGGCAUCGGCACAACAGACAGAAUUGCCGGCUCAGAAGUUCCUUGGGAAUUGUCACCAUAAAAAUGCUAGGGUUCUGAUCCUCUGCUUCUUCGUCCACAGUACACAGAGAAGGCAGGUGGUCUCUCCCUCCCAAAGGGAAGGAACAGGUUUAAGGAGGCAGCUAAAUAAACGGGCUGCCCCAUUUUGGCCACAUUGAACAGAGUAGACCACAGGAACAUUGCAGUCAUCCAAAAGCAAUUGACUGGCUUCAACACAGGAACUGAAGCCAUCUGUCUCCAGCAGGCAGGACUCAGGAAGUGUCCUCUUUAAUUCAUUUAAAGCUUCUCCCACUUCAAAAUGUUCACAUGUAAACUGUCAUCAGCUCCCACCCUAAGGUGACUACUACUCAAUUCCUAGCUUCAUAGCCUCUGUGGGGACCUUUUCCUCCACUGUCCCAUUUCCUUGUGAAGUUUACGGUUGGGGUAAGUGGGGCACGCUAAGACUUCCUCAUGUCUUGGAUGGGGUCUAUGGUCUCCAGAAACAAGAGAUGCUAAAACAUCAUCUCGUGGCACAUGGUUCCUUCCAGCCUCAUGCACAGCUCCCUCUGUAGCUCGGAAUAUGCUCACUGCUUUGCCUGGGGCUUGUCUGCCAAUAACUAUAAGCUUUUAUGCUCCUCUCCAUCUGCUAACAGGGCCUGCCCAGCACCCAGACUAUCAGGCUUUGGCUCAGCAGUCCUCACUCCUGCUCUCCGAGACAAGACAUAGCCGUGAACACCGUAUUCUGCAACCAGACUCUCAGGAGGAAGAGCCGUUACUCCGGACAAACAACAAAGGAUCCUUAGGACACUGGAAAGAAGCCCCCAGCAUGUUAAAGAGACAGAAGGAGAGGGAUGAACACCACUCUUUUUAGGUCAAUCUGCACACUGCACAUGUGUGCACCUGUGUCCUCAUCAUGGAUCUCCACACUGCACAUGUGUGCACCUGUGUCCUCAUCAUGGAUCCCCACACUGUACAUGUAUGCACCUGUCUUUAUCAUGGAUCCUCACACUGCACAUGUGUGCACUUGUGUCCUCAUCAUGGAUCCCCACACUGCACAUGUGUGCACCUGUCCUCAUCAUGGAUCCCCACACUGUACAUGUAUGCACCUGUCCUCAUCAUGGAUCCCACACUGCACAUGUGUGCACCUGUGUCCUCAUCGUGGAUUCCCACACUAUACAUGUAUGCACCUGUCUUUAUCAUGGAUCCUCACACUGCACAUGUGUGCAACUGUCCUCAUCAUGGAUCCCCACACUGUACAUGUAUGCACCUGUCCUCAUAAUGGAUCCCCACACUGUACAUGUAUGCACCUGUCUUUAUCAUGGAUCCUCACAAUGCACAUGUGUGUACCAGUCUUCAACGACCCCAGAGAGGAUGAGAAAGAACUCACACCGCUGGGAGGUACAUAGCCUGACUCCCACCAGCACAGCCCAGAACCAAGAAGCAGGGACGUGCCUAUCAAGUCAUUUGCCUACAAAGGCAAAAAUGUAAGUAUUCUGCCCAGAAUUUACUUAAGUUGUUUGUGUUAGACAAAACAAACAAAAUGCCAGAACAGAAACUGAAAUUAACUGUCAUAUAGGAAGACAGGAGAAUCUCAACCCAUGUGGGAAAAGACAGCAACCAUAUGGAUACUAACAAAGAUGUACAGGUAUGGGAACUGAGACAAAACUGGAGCACAUCACCUACAGAUCGCUUACACUCUAACAGGGGUCACAGACACUGGAAACACAUCGUCACACUCUAACAGGGGUCACAGACACUGGGAACACAUCGCUUACACUCUAACAGGGUCACAGACACUGGGAACACAUCGCUUACACUCUAACAGGGUCACAGACAUUGGAAACACAUCGCUUACACUCUAACAGGGUCACAGACACUGGGAACACAUCGUCACAUUCUAACAGGGUCACAGACACUGGGAACACAUCGCUUACACUCUAACAGGGUCACAGACACUGGGAACACAUCGCUUACACUCUAACAGGGUCACAGACACUGGGAACACAUCGUCACACUCUAACAGGGUCACAGACACUGGAAACACAUCGUCACACACUAACAGGGUCACGGACACUGGGAACACUUUGCUUACACACUAACAGGGUCACGGACACUGGGAACACAUCGCUUACACUCUAACAGGGUCACAGACACUGGAAACACAUCGCUUACACUCUAACAGGGUCACAGACACUGGGAACACAUCGUCACACUCUAACAGGGUCACAGACACUGGAAACACAUCGUCACACACUAACAGGGUCACGGACACUGGGAACACUUUGCUUACACACUAACAGGGUCACGGACACUGGGAACACAUCGCUUACACUCUAACAGGGUCACGGACACUGGAAACACAUCCCUUACACACUAACAGGGUCACAGACACUGGAAACAAAUGCAAAAACAGAAAGUCUAAGCAAAAGAAACGGGAGACAGAAAAAAAUUUAAGAAAUAAAAGUAUAGUAACAUUAAAACAAAGCAAAACACAGCAAUUCGUGUAUGAGAAAUCAGAUUAGCGAUGACAAAGGAAAUAAUCGGCGUUUGAAGAUAGAUUAAUAGAAAGUAUGCCCUCUGGACAACAAGAAGCCAAAUGACGGAGCCUCCAGGACUGAUGCGACAGAGGCUAGAAAUUUGACGCUCUUGUCACCCAAAUCUCGUAAGGAAAGAGGGCAGCACUAGAAGACAUUUGAAAAAAUGACAGUUGAAAAUGUAGG